CUGAACUGGAUCAAAAAGUACUAAGAAGUUCAAAAGCUAAAGAUUGUCAAAAUCGGGCCAGUUUGCAGAAUUCUGAAGUGCAAGGAUGCAACUACUGUAGAUGUGAAAAAAAAGGAGGCGAUUGAAUAUUUUCUUAAUAACCUUUGUGAAAAGUAUGAGGGAAAAAGGCAUUCAUACUUCUGUUACUAUGAUUCGUGGUGAAACUAUUGACGAUUCUCAUUGAUACACUCUUGCAUGGACCCUAUCAAUUUGAGGAUAUUCAUAAUCUGUAAAAACGUUAAAUAUGUGAUAUUUCCAAUGCGAUCAAAAUGAUGGAAUAUUCUUACUUUCCAAGGAGCUGGAGAAAUUGAGUUGUAUAGUUAUUAAGGGACAUUAAGAAAUUUUGAUUUCAUUUACCACUAUUUGUAUUUGCAAUUGACAAUAUUGCUUUCUCUACAAAAUAAAUAAAAUGAUUGAUGUGUUAAAAUGAAA